rnacentral:tRNA from 1 species
UCCCAAGUGGCUCAGUGGUAAAGAACCUGCCUGCCAAUGCAGGAGAUGCAGGUUCGAUCCCUGGGUUGGGAA